rnacentral:rRNA from 1 species
ACAUGCAAGUCGAACGGUGACGGCAGAGCUUGCUCUGCUUGAUCAGUGGCGAACGGGUGAGUAACACGUGAGUAACCUGCCCCUCACUCUGGGAUAACAUCGGGAAACCGGUGCUAAUACUGGAUACGAGAUGCCUCCGCAUGGGGAGUGUCUGGAAAGAUUUAUUGGUGGGGGAUGGACUCGCGGCCUAUCAGCUUGUUGGUGGGGUAAUGGCCCACCAAGGCGACGACGGGUAGCCGGCCUGAGAGGGCGACCGGCCACACUGGGACUGAGACACGGCCCAGACUCCUACGGGAGGCAGCAGUGGGGAAUAUUGCACAAUGGGCGAAAGCCUGAUGCAGCGACGCCGCGUGGGGGAUGAAGGCCUUCGGGUUGUAAACCCCUUUCAGCAGGGAAGAAGCGAAAGUGACGGUACCUGCAGAAGAAGCGCCGGCUAACUACGUGCCAGCAGCCGCGGUAAUACGUAGGGCGCAAGCGUUGUCCGGAAUUAUUGGGCGUAAAGAGCUCGUAGGCGGUUUGUCGCGUCUGGUGUGAAAACUCAAGGCUCAACCUUGAGCUUGCAUCGGGUACGGGCAGACUAGAGUGCGGUAGGGGUGACUGGAAUUCCUGGUGUAGCGGUGGAAUGCGCAGAUAUCAGGAGGAACACCGAUGGCGAAGGCAGGUCACUGGGCCGCAACUGACGCUGAGGAGCGAAAGCAUGGGGAGCGAACAGGAUUAGAUACCCUGGUAGUCCAUGCCGUAAACGUUGGGCACUAGGUGUGGGGCUCAUUCCACGAGUUCC